UACGGAGGGAGCAAGCGUUACUCGGAAUUAUUGGGCGUAAAGGGCGCGUAGGCGAUCCUGUAAGUCUCGUGUGAAAUCCCAGGGCUUAACCCUGGAAUGGCAAGAGAAACUGCUGGAAUUGAGUUCCGGAGAGGAAGGCAGAAUUCCCGGUGUAGCGGUGAAAUGCGUAGAUAUCGGGAGGAAUACCAGUGGCGAAGGCGAGUCCCUGGACAAACCCUGACACUGAGGCACGAAAGCCAAGGGAGCAAACAGG
rnacentral:rRNA from 1 species